rnacentral:pre_miRNA from 1 species
UCAAUACUCCCUCCGUCCGGAAAAGCUUGUCUCUCAAAUGGAUGUAUUUAGCACCAAGUUAGUGCUAGAUACAUCCAUUUGAGGGACAAGCUUUUUCGAACGGAGGGAGUGUUAC